UCCGAGUUGACCCCGGCGGUCUCCCGUGAGUCCCCAGCACCACAAGGGCCUGCUGGCAACACGGGACAAGGGUUGCGCUCGUUGCGGGACUUAACCCAACAUCUCACGACACGAGCUGACGACAGCCAUGCAGCACCUGUCUCCGGUCCAGCCGAACUGAAAGGCUCCAUCUCUGGUGCCCGCGACCGGGAUGUCAAAGGCUGGUAAGGUUCUGCGCGUUGCUUCGAAUUGAACCACAUGCUCCACCGCUUGUGCGGGCCCCCGUCAAUUCCUUUGAGUUUCACCCUUGCGAGCGUACUCCCCAGGUGGGAUGCUUAACGCGUUAGCUGCGCCACUGACGAGCAAGCUCGCCAACGGCUAGCAUCCAUCGUUUACGGCGUGGACUAC
rnacentral:misc_RNA from 1 species